AAAUGAACACUUCACAAGUGUCAGGCGACACAACAGCUUGUCUUUACAUGCAUAGGCAUAAUUUCCACUAACAUAAGUUAAGCUCUGGGUAAUUUUACAGCUGAGUACUUAAGAGACAACAUGCCUAGACCAGGUAUGUGUCUCCCUGUUUCAAAUACUUAAAUAUAGGGGACCUAUUUGAUAUUGUGUUGCUCAGUCCCAACUACCUACAGUUAAAGAUCAAGGUUACCUAUUACUAGACAAUAUUUACACUGUUAAGAAUGAAUUCAACUCUCACAUACAGCAAACAAUAAAACAUUUACAACAAUGUCGAUAAUAUCAACCAGAGAGGUUCUUAAUUUUGGAGAGUCUCAAUUUUUCAGUUAUAAUUUUAUGGGAAAUAAGACCAGCAUACAAACAAAUUUGAACAGAUCGGGUACAGUCUAUCAUAUUAUUCAUCCCAUACAAAUCUGAAGUACUGAAAGUGUCCUCCUUUAAAAACUUGUGGUGGUGGUGGUGCAUGCAGUAUGCAGACAAGGUGAAUUGCAAGUCUGAGGUCUUUCAGAGGGCAUUUUUUAUUUUUUUUUUUUUGCUGAUGCCGAUGUGGUGCAUGAUGAAGUGUAGAGUCAGCCUGCUGAAGUCCUCUAUCCUUCUUAAUGCCUUGUCCAGCAUAGGG